CGGGCACAAGGUAAUUUUCUUGGGUCAAAGGUAUGCAGAUGUCAGAAGGUACAGAGCACAUUCUGGCAAUAUAUGUCUUUGGAAAAGGGCACAUGAGUGGAAUGACUAUUACUUGAUCGUUUGCUGGUAUCAUUUCGUUGCAUUGUACCUUCAUUUAUGUGGUAAGUUAUUAAAUUUAAACGUCGUUUCCAAUCAACCAUCACUGCACUUGCAAAAAACGGACGGAGGCCAAUGAGACAUUGGGUGACAAAAAUAGCAGUUAAUCAUAUAACUUCUGGAGACUCGUCAAACAUUUUGCGAAAGAGAUAUUUACAUAGGUCAUCAAAGAAAGGGCAUUAAAGAAGGUUAUACCACGGUUGAAAAUAA